ACAGUGUCACUGAAACAUGCCUUGCACCUCUGGGUCCCACGAAGAAUUAGACUUCAUCUAAUUCUUGAAUUUAUUAAGAUGAAGGCUGCAGCCCUUUCUGAAUGCAGAAUCAGAAACCACGGCUUUAAAAACAGAAGACUGUGGACAAUCUUUCCUAACCAUAAAAUUAUUUCCAUUCUCCAACCAUCAAGUUCUCAAAUGGAUUUUGUAGAUGUGCAAAAACUCAAAGCAGCUCUAUUAAAAAGAAGGAAAGAUGUCAGGCUGAAAAUAAGGAAAAUCAGAAUGGGAGACGAGGACACAGUCUGUGAACGCCCCGGCCUUCACAGCAGCCCCGGCCCUGUGAUUAACCUACACUAACCCCCAAACUCUAAAUCAUUCUCACCUUCCCAGGAGCUUGUAAGCCAGACAGCUGUUAAGGGGAGCAACUCAUAAUAUUACUGCAAAAUUUCACAGUUGAAAGUCAAAUAGCAAUGAUUUUGCUCUGCCAGCCGGCCUCCACCUUGCCCACGUGCCGAAAGUCCCUGGGCAGUGAGCACGCACAGUGUGGACCGGGAUGCUUGUGCCCGCAGCUCUUCAGGGAAAGGCAUGUCACCAAGGGUAACCAAACACUUCUUCUCGAUCAAAAUUCUAACUUCAUGGUAACCGGAAAAUUAAUGCCAACAAUGGUGGUAAUACGAACCUUCCAGUUACCCCCUGUGGGUAUCUAUCAACUGGCCCACUGGGUAAUAGAGGCUGAGACCGCCGCGAGCUGGAGGCCCAGGAGAGCCCACGGUGUAGCUCCAGCCUGAGUCUGAGUCGGAGGGCAGGAGCCCAGUGUCCCAGCUCGAGGACACCCGGGCAGAGCGAGCUCCCCCUCACUGGACCUUCUGUUUCAUUUUGACGCUCAAAGGGUUCAGUGAGCCGCGCCCACCUUGAGGAGGGCGGUUUGCCUUAUUCCAUCUACUGCUCCAGAUGCUAAUCUCAUCUGGAAACACCCUCACAGAGACCCAGACUAAGGCUUACUCAAAUAUCUGGGCGCCCUGUGGCCCAGGCAAGUGGACAUAUUCCAUGAACCACCACAUGCUGGUUCUUAAAGGCCACUUUCACUGACUCCUCCACUGGCUGUAACUCAGACCACAGAACCCGAAAGCCUGGUGGAACCUCAGUUCUGUGGCCAUUUCUUAAAGGGGACUCCCUGGGUCUUCGGGCUGCAGAUCUAGAGUCACCGGCACUCCUGAGAAGACAGGAGCUCAUUUCCUUGCAUCUGAGCCAUCUUCAAGCAGGAGCUGCUGUUCAGAUAUGAAAUGUGUGCAGAACUAGCCUGUUAGAAGUGCCCUCCAUGCUUCCCCUGGCUUCUGAGCAGAGCCCGCACCCCCGCACCCCCGCCGCCCAGCCCUCCUGCGCCCUCCGCCCUCCACCUCUCUUCUUUCUGCAGGUGAGUGGCCCCUCCAGAGGGGGGAGGCAGACCAAGCCACCCUUCCUUCCCAACCUGGCUCCCUCCGUCCUUCAUCAUUCUUUUUGAAAAAAUCCUCUGUCAUUUGGCUGCCAAGGAGGCGGCGACAAUUCUGAAACAUUACGGUGGCAUCAGAGAAUGAAGUUGGGAAUUAUUUGGGCACAGUGUUGAGACAGCAAGUGACAGGGUGGAGGAAGAAAGCUGAGCUAGCUGCGCAGAGCCCCUGCUGAGGAAGACAGAGCCCAGGAGCCCAGAUGGGGCGCAGCCCAAGGGAAGGUCAGAGUCCACGCGACAGCUCAGGGUGGCAGGAAGGAGACACGGCUGCGUGGCGGGACGGAGCCUGAUUCACCUUCUAAAGUGCUCCAUACAGUGGUGGUGCCCCCAGUCAUGGUUUCACUGCCUGUGGUUUCAGUUCUGCACCGUCAGCUGUGGUCUGGAAGCAGAUGAUCGUCCUUCUGAUGUAGACAGAAAGCAGCUUGCAGCCUGACGCUGCGUCGCCUGCCGGCGUCCCCACCUCACUGCCUCCCAUGAUGUACAUGCUUCACCAUCUCACGGCCUCACCGGGAGAGGGGUGAGGGAGAACAGGAAGGCGUUUUAGAGAGAGAGGGAGCCCACACCCACACAGCUUUAUUGCAGUGUAUUGUUAUUGUCAUAUUUUACUAUUAGCUAUUGUUGUUAACCUCUUACUGUUCUUAAUUUACAUUUUUGACUUUAUCAUAGGUAUGUACGUAUAGGAAAAACAGUAUAUAUAGAGUUUGGUACUAUCUGUGGCCUCAGGCAUCCACUGGGGUCUUGGAAUGUGUCCCCCAUGGAUAAGGGGGUUCUGCUGUAAUUGACUGAGUCAUGACCUGUAUUUUGUGAUCAUUCCCACUUAAAGAUAAACUUAUAGAUAAAACUUUUCCUGUUUAUUCAUUGCAGUAUCCGAGCAUAUGUUGAUUUUUAAUAAGUAUUGAAGGUGUGAAAAUGAGCAAAAAAAGUGCUCUUCUGAGGGAGCUGAGCUCCAUCCAAGUUGAAGGGCCAAGGGGAAAUCUGGUUCUAAUAGAACUGCAGGAGCAGCAGAGCCCUGUCUUCAGACAGACCUUGAAGUCCAGUGUCUGAACAGACAGAGGCCUCCCCAGGCUGGUUACUGGGGCAGGUGGGAUGAGGUCGCCUGGGUUCUGUGGGGGGCUGUUUGCCCAGCCCUGGGCUGGUCCAGACCCCUUGGAACAGAGACUGGAAGACCCAGAGGACGUGGAAGUCUUGACUGAGAUUUUCAGGUUGCCAGGAAAGAUCUCAGGUAGGCACCUGUCUGACUGUCAGGAUGUUGCCAUUUCUGCCUGCUUUCCUGUAGGGUUUACAUGCUAGACCCCAGAAUGAAGACUUAGUUUGGCAAGUGGCCAGGAUGCCCUGGUCUUGAGCAAUCGAACAGCCUGAGGAAGAAGACACUUUAAGAACUUGCUCUGCAGAUGAUUAGGUAGGUGUAUGAAGAGACUAGAAGGUGGGAGAAGGCUGGCCCCAGGACCGUCCCAGCUGGGUCAGCCACCUGCUCAGCUCCUGCUGCGGCCUCCCAGCAUUGCCAGAUGUAGCAAAUAAAAAUCCCACACACCCACUUAAAUUUGCAUUUCAGAUGAACAACAAGAUUUUUGUUAUAAAUAUGUCCCCAGUAUUGUCUGUGUAGUUUGAGAUGCAAACCCGCCUGACUUCCUAUAUAUCUGGCAAUCCCACUCUUGACUAUUGCGAGGGGGCAAGGGCCUGUCACCACCACUCAUCUCCAAGACCACCUCCUCCUCCGGGCCUGGACUCCAGGCCCUCUUCCUUCAACUCUCGCUGAAUCACAGUGCAAAAGGCAAGAUACUGGUUGUUUUGCAACCACUGCCCAUAUUCCACUAAGUUUAGAGAAUUGGAAUACAAUGGACACACCGUCACAUGAACUCUAUGCUGAACGUAAUUCCACCCUUGAUGACUGAAUGUGCUCUGUGAUCCUAGCAGACCUGCUGUUAAUCGGGCACAGGGCGAGUGCGAGGGUGCGGCUGCAGCUUCGCUCCUCAGAACCGGACGCGGAGAGCCUGCUGUGGCAGGACCCCCACCGACCCGCCUUGCAUCUAGAGUCCAUCCAGAGAAAAGACUGAUGUCUGUGUCUUUAGCAGGAAGAAAAAAUGCAUUUCGCUAAUGAGAACAAAACCUCAUGUGGCACAACAGAAGAGCGCCGUGUCUCAUUCCCAGGAGGUCCAUGGCCUGGUGGGUGGGGCAGAGGGGCCACUGACCACGCUCUUCUCCAGGUGUGGUCCUCUCAGCCAAAUGAGUGAACCACGUCUAUAAUUAGAAUUAUAUGCAGAAUGAAAAGAUUCUUCAAGGACCGUCUCUGGGUCCUCAUCAUCUUAAGUAUCUGUUGCCAUGGAAGCCAGCGAGCAGCUCCAAAAAUCUAGAGUGGUGGGCGGCACUUACCCACUAGCCCUCUCGCCCUUUAAAUAAAGUUGCCUUUUUUCUUCGGGUUCUGA